AUAGGGGAGCCGCAGGGAAACCGAGUCUUAACUGGGCGUUAAGUUGCAGGGUAUAGACCCGAAACCCGGUGAUCUAGCCAUGGGCAGGUUGAAGGUUGGGUAACACUAACUGGAGGACCGAACCGACUAAUGUUGAAAAAUUAGCGGAUGACUUGUGGCUGGGGGUGAAAGGCCAAUCAAACCGGGAGAUAGCUGGUUCUCCCCGAAAGCUAUUUAGGUAGCGCCUCGUGAACUCAUCUUCGGGGGUAGAGCACUGUUUCGGCUAGGGGGUCAUCCCGACUUACCAACCCGAUGCAAACUACGAAUACCGAAGAAUGUUAUCACGGGAGACACACGGCGGGUGCUAACGUCCGUCGUGAAGAGGGAAACAACCCAGACCGCCAGCUAAGGUCCCAAAGUCAUGGUUAAGUGGGAAACGAUGUGGGAAGGCCCAGACAGCCAGGAUGUUGGCUUAGAAGCAGCCAUCAUUUAAAGAAAGCGUAAUAGCUCACUGGUCGAGUCGGCCUGCGCGGAAGAUGUAACGGGGCUAAACCAUGCACCGAAGCUGCGGCAGCGACACUAUGUGUUGUUGGGUAGGGGAGCGUUCUGUAAGCCGUUGAAGGUGGCCUGUGAGGGUUGCUGGAGGUAUCAGAAGUGCGAAUGCUGACAUAAGUAACGAUAAUGCGGGUGAAAAACCCGCACGCCGGAAGACCAAGGGUUCCUGUCCAACGUUAAUCGGGGCAGGGUGAGUCGACCCCUAAGGCGAGGCCGAAAGGCGUAGUCGAUGGGAAACAGGUUAAUAUUCCUGUACUUGGUGUUCAAAUCGUACCCCAAACCGACACAGGUGGUCAGGUAGAGAAUACCAAGGCGCUUGAGAGAACUCGGGUGAAGGAACUAGGCAAAAUGGUGCCGUAACUUCGGGAGAAGGCACGCUGAUGGUAGGUGAAGCGACUUGCUCGUGGAGCUGAAAUCAGUCGAAGAUACCAGCUGGCUGCAACUGUUUAUUAAAAACACAGCACUGUGCAAACACGAAAGUGGACGUAUACGGUGUGACGCCUGCCCGGUGCCGGAAGGUUAAUUGAUGGGGUUAUCCUCGCGGAGAAGCUCUUGAUCGAAGCCCCGGUAAACGGCGGCCGUAACUAUAACGGUCCUAAGGUAGCGAAAUUCCUUGUCGGGUAAGUUCCGACCUGCACGAAUGGCGUAAUGAUGGCCAGGCUGUCUCCACCCGAGACUCAGUGAAAUUGAACUCGCUGUGAAGAUGCAGUGUACCCGCGGCAAGACGGAAAGACCCCGUGAACCUUUACUAUAGCUUGACACUGAACACUGGUCCUUGAUGUGUAGGAUAGGUGGGAGGCUUUGAAGUGUGGACGCCAGUCUGCAUGGAGCCGACAUCAGGAGGUUAGUGCAAUGGCAUAAGCUGGCUUGACUGCGAGCGUGACGGCGCGAGCAGGUGCGAAAGCAGGUCAUAGUGAUCCGGUGGUUCUGAAUGGAAGGGCCAUCGCUCAACGGAUAAAAGGUACUCCGGGGAUAACAGGCUGAUACCGCCCAAGAGUUCAUAUCGACGGCGGUGUUUGGCACCUCGAUGUCGGCUCAUCACAUCCUGGGGCUGAAGUAGGUCCCAAGGGUAUGGCUGUUCGCCAUUUAAAGUGGUACGCGAGCUGGGUUUAGAACGUCGUGAGACAGUUCGGUCCCUAUCUGCCGUGGGCGCUGGAGAAUUGAGGGGGGCUGCUCCUAGUACGAGAGGACCGGAGUGGACGCAUCACUGGUGUUCGGGUUGUCAUGCCAAUGGCAUUGCCCGGUAGCUAAAUGCGGAAGAGAUAAGUGCUGAAAGCAUCUAAGCACGA
rnacentral:rRNA from 1 species